AUUAACGCGAAGAACCUUACCAAGGCUUGACAUGUGCCAGACCGCUCCAGAGAUGGGGUUUCCCUUCGGGGCUGGUUCACAGGUGGUGCAUGGUUGUCGUCAGCUCGUGUCGUGAGAUGUUGGGUUAAGUCCCGCAACGAGCGCAACCCUCGUUCCAUGUUGCCAGCACGUAGUGGUGGGGACUCAUGGGAGACUGCCGGGGUCAACUCGGAGGAAGGUGGGGAUGACGUCAAAUCAUCAUGCCCCUUAUGUCUUGGGCUUCACGCAUGCUACAAUGGCCGGUACAAUGGGUUGCGAUACUGUGAGGUGGAGCUAAUCCCUAAAAGCCGGUCUCAGUUCGGAUUGGGGUCUGCAACUCGACCCCAUGAAGUCGGAGUCGCUAGUAAUCGCAGAUCAGCAACGCUGCGGUGAAUACGUUCCCGGGCCUUGUACACACCGAAU
rnacentral:rRNA from 1 species